rnacentral:misc_RNA from 1 species
GGUCCAGUGCCCACCCCCCACUGAGAGGGGGAAGCCGAGCAGCCGGCACAGCCUGACGUCCGGGUGCGACUGCGGGCUUUUGGGGUCCGCGGACAUGCCUGGGGUGGGCGCUGUGCCGGAGGGGACCUGCGGCCUUGCUCAGCUUCGUACCAGCUCACCACGAAUCGUGCCAGCAAGUCAGGAAAGGCAAACAUCUCCUGCAUCCGACCAGGUCUGCACUGAUGAGGCGCAGAUGUCGGAAGCACGACGAGAGCACCCUCGAGUUGCACCAUCGAGCCCUCAAGACCCCCAUGUGGAGAAUCACCACACCACAUUGUGGGAUGCCGCGGCCUGAAGCGAGUGAGGGGGAGAAGAAAGUCACACAGACAAAAUGUGCAGGGUCUCAGGAGGCCCUGACGUUAAGCUGGCCAGCACCCUCUGGGUGCUCAUCCGGCAUGCACCUGGACCCGCCCACGGCUACCUGCGCGACAGAGACGCCACCGCCUCCGUCCUCGAGCAGGCACCCUAGAGGCGGUCCGCCUGGAUCCACGGCAUAAAGCGCACCCCAGGUCCGUGUGGCACCGAUCGCGCAGCACGCAUCCGACAAGGGAGCGAGGAAGGAGAGGGAGAGAGGAGGCUGCUAGAUGCAUGGCCCGGCUCGACGGCAGGAAGGCUCGCCAUAGAGGAGGCGGAUGUAACUGUGGUGCAGCAGAGGGCCACGUGCGUUGUAGCUGUGUGCGUGUGUGUAAUGCGUCUGUUUUGCUGUAACUUGCUUUGCGGUGGCGGAAUGGACACGAUGGAGAAGACAGAUAUGGUCCGCCCCUCUCAGCUUCUGUGUGCCGCACGCAUACCCAAGGACAGGCACACGUGCGCGCACGGCACCGAAGUGUUCCAUGCCGUUUGUCCGCGUUCCCCUUCUGUUUUUUUUUUUUGUUGUUGUUGUUUGCUUGAGAGACCUUGAACGCACGUCGAUGUCCGCGUGUGUGCGCGCGCGCUCAUCCAUGCAGUGUGGCGUCGCUGGUCUCGUUUCGUUUUCACCGUGACCUCUUUUCGAUUCCUGACUUCUAAUAUCUCUUUAUUAGCUGAUCACGGCAUCAGCGCGGCUCUAAAAGGAGUGUGGUGGGUGGCCUUCAAUGUGUUUGUGUGCGGACGCUCUACCUCCGCGCAUCCUUAUCGUCUCUCUCUCUCUGGCAUUGAGUUGCUCCCCUCGCUCCACACACACACACACAUCCCCUUACCACCACCACCACCACUACCUAUCGCCUCCCCCCUCUCCCCCACUCCUUCCUUUCUGGUUUUCGCUCUGUGAUCUUGUUGAUUUCAUAUUGCGCGUAUUUUUAUUUUUGUUUUUGUUCUUGAGCCUCGCUGCCCUUCUGUGUUCUCCCUUUCUUCCUUCUUCUCCCUCUGCCUCCGGCGGUGCGCCUGUGCGCUGGUGCAACUUCUUUUCGCCCCUUCAAGGCCUGUGUUGAUGGCCAUCCCCUCCCGACCCUCUCCCACGCACGCACGACCGCAACAUUCUUCUCCCUCCUUUUCGUCCUCAAGAUACGGUCCACGAUGAGCGCCACCUCCGCCUUCACGUUUUUGUCUCCGUGCUCCCCCGCUGUGGUUUGCUCAGCAAGAACACAAGCGAUAGAUGGUGACCGACAGACAAGAACAACAGCACAUCAGACCUUUCUUGUACGCCCGUCAUGCGUGCCUGCCCACGCGUGCACCAUCAACCGCAACUUUAGGUGAUCACAGAGAGAGAGAGAGCGAGGCGCAAGUGCUGAUGCCGGC